AAACUUGACAUUUCUGUCAAGUUAGGCUUAACUAAAUUGUUGAUGUGUCUAUGUAAAUACUCUGAUUCAAGAUAAAGUCUCAGAAGGGAAAUAGGAUUUAUACACUGGGCCUGAUCUCCCCCAGGAAGUAGGGUAUAAGUUAUUUAUCAUCCGGGCACAAUGGUUUUUAGGCCACUCUUCUCUAUGUUUGGUUAGAACCUUAAGCGUUGGCCAAGUUGAACCACCAGAAAGGUUCAUUUUUAUGUGGGGGCAAACAUGGUUUAAUUUAGGACUUUCAUAAUAAACCAAGCCAGUAUGGUAAUACUACUUAACACAUCUGAUCUGACUUUUUCAGUGCCUACUGAUAAAUAAAGAAGACCAGGAAGCCUAGCAAAUUGAGAAUCAGGCGAAUUGGUUUCUAGAACCGAGUGAUCAGUAGCCAGCAGUAUGACCUUGCUGUCUACAAGGCUCUUGUCCAUAAAAGAGGAUUAAGCAUUUCUGAUUCAGGUAUUACUGAGUUACAAAAGAGGAAAACUUCAGAGGCUAGCUGAAAUAAAAGGUUCACUGCAAGGGUAUGGCGGGGAAUCUCAUUAAGGGCAGGAAACAAAGUUUAACCAGCCUACAUGACCCUGGAACUGAAAAGUUCUCUCAGCCUCUCUGGGGUUCUCAAGGUCCCUUGAGAUUCCCUGGGGUUCUCAAGGUCCCUUAUCGCCACUUCUCAUGGCGUGCUCCCAAGAGCGUGCUCCCAAGUACUGUCCCUCUCUGCAGCCCUGUUCUCUGUGCUAACUUGGGGUUUCUCUGGUGCCUUGCAGCUUUUGAUCUACCUUGAGGCCUGGCUCCCUGCUGUUACUUUCUCUGAUCUUUCCGGAGGACUCACCUAUCUUCAUCUUACAGAUUCAGGCUCAGUGUUCACUUGGUUCAAGAGGAUGUGAGGGGUGAGGGAGUGAGUGGCCACAUGGUACAAACAGCAUCCGGAGCCGUGGGUGGAGUCCAUCUCCAACAAUGGGGUGAGAGGCCGUGAUUGGCCAGUCUAGCAAACUUCUGUCUUCACAGGGUUUUUGGGUUGUAAGUUCUAUAAUUCUGUAACCUUUUUUGUUUCUGUUACAGUUACUGAGUUGAGACAGCAUGCCUCUAAAGGUACUUGGAUCAUCUUUCCUAAGGGAGCCUUGUAAAUUCCUGCCCGACAGCAACUAGGUGUUUUUCAAGGAUUGCGAGCCACUUUGGGCUUGUUGGAAGUGCAGUUCAGGCUACCGGCCACCGAGGGCGCUGUUUGUUUUGUCACUGGUUAUUAAGUUUCCAUUUUUCUGCGCAUAAAUUUCUCAUCAUAACUACGUUAUAGGGUUUAGAAAUACUUGGAUGAAAAUCAAAAUAUAUAGGAGCAUUAAAAGACAUCUGAAAUAUACUUUAGAAAUAAUGUCUGCAGUUAAGAUAUAUUUUAACAUUUUCCAAAUUUUCAACUUUAUUAAUUGCCAACAAAGCAGGGACUAGAUCCACUGUGAAGAGAGGAAGAUACAUGUGUCUCAGGACUACUUUGGUCCUUUUAGAAUUACAGUUAGUCCAGGAUAAUUUUAAAUUGAGGAUUCAUACAUAUACUGAUCUCUAAUCUUAUUUUACCAUUGUUGGGAAAUUAAACUACUUUGUAAGAAGGGGAGCCCAAAGCUGUCUUGAAGGAUCCAGCAUAUUGGAAACCUUUGAUUUUCUGCCUUUGAGAGGCCUCCAUGCGAUGGGGAAUGACAAGUUGCCUGGAGUACGGUAAACUCCUGGAGACCACCCCCCCCACACACACACACACCAUUUAUAUACUCUGUCCCUAAGAACUGGUAAAGAUGAACAAAAUAGUGUAACACAACCUAUCCUUGAAUGGGAAGUUACCUGCUAGACAUGGUCCAGUCAUUUCGCUUCCCAAUAUCAUCAUGUGUUCAUGAAGGUUACAAAAACCAAGAAAUUUUAAUUUCAUUAUAAUUAGAUAUAUGGAUAAUUGUUUUCUCAAAAAAUGCUAAAAUAAACUGAGUUUCAAAGAAA